UAUUCAGGCUUUCCAGAGGCGUUUACCAUCAGAAGAAGCAGAACACCGAAUCAUCAGCACCCCGCAGAAGAGCACAGCCAGCAACAAAUCUAACAAUAAAGACGUGCUGGAGCCAAAAGGUGCAGAUAGCGAGUUUUAAAAGAUAACUCACAGGACCAAAGGGGGAGAGGGUAAAAACCCACUGCCUCCUGAGAUAAAGAUCAGCAAGUCAAGCUGGUAGCAGACGACACGAAACGCUCUCUGGAGGAGGCGGCGACUGUGGAGCAGGCCGACGGAGAGCGUUGGUGACACUGCCCAUCGAGGUACAGCCCAACUUGGCAAACCAACCCUGCCCUUUCUUGGACACCACACUGGCUGAUCUGGGCAUCCAAGAGUCAGAGGUGAAGGAGAGGGUGGUUUGGGUUGACACCAAGAAGACCCAGGUGAAGAACAAAGCAGGGAAGCUGGAGGAGAAAGAGAUCACCAUCCUAGAGAUACGAGUGAAAGCCCAGAAGCCAGGAGACAAACAGCUCCAGGAGGUCCUGUACAGCACCGAGGCCCACACUGACCGCUCCUUCUGCUGUACUGGAAUGAAUAUCCUGCCCCGGAAACAGACGUGUGCAGGUCUGGAAGCAGUUUAAAUCCCAUACUUUUUUGAUCUGUGAGGCUCUUAAUGUCACGUCUGCUGCCAUUAAAGUCAGCUCAGGGUUUCUUGAUUCUGAUUUUUCUUUGCUGUGUCACUGUUAGCUCUGCAUCGCCAUGCCCUCCAUAAAAGCCACUCCCCCUGCAGUGUGCAGCGACCUCUCAGAUAACGGGUGACUUGUCAGACUCAUGUGGAUCACAGUGGUGUGCCACAGCCUGAGGCAAUGACAAAAAAAUCGUACCAAACAUUACAUCACUUUUCAAAAUGACAAUUAUUCAUUUACUCUUGGACUGACACCCAUGCAGAUGAUUAUGGCGCUGGACACUGAAAACAAGCUGCCGGGCUUUAGUCAGGCUCAGGGACAACAGGAGAUCUGAGGAGCAACACAAUGAGUACAACUAAAAAUGAACAAACUUAACAUCUGAUUACCUUUUUUUGUAUGAAAAGUUUAACAUGAACGCUCCAACUGUUCACAGCAAAGCUUAUUAUGACAAGACUGCUUUGAUUUAGUGAUGUCAAAGUGU